rnacentral:rRNA from 1 species
GACGAACGCUGGCGGCGUGCCUAACACAUGCAAGUCGAACGGUGAACUCCGCUUGCGGGGGGAUCAGUGGCGAACGGGUGAGUAACACGUGGGCAACCUGCCCUCAGCUCUGGGAUAACUCCAAGAAAUUGGGGCUAAUACCGGAUAUGACCGCUGACCGCAUGGUCUGGUGGUGGAAAGAUUUAUCGGCUGGGGAUGGGCCCGCGGCCUAUCAGCUUGUUGGUGGGGUAGUGGCCUACCAAGGCGACGACGGGUAGCCGGCCUGAGAGGGUGACCGGCCACACUGGGACUGAGACACGGCCCAGACUCCUACGGGAGGCAGCAGUGGGGAAUAUUGCGCAAUGGGCGAAAGCCUGACGCAGCGACGCCGCGUGGGGGAUGACGGCCUUCGGGUUGUAAACCUCUUUCAGCAGGGACGAAGCGAAAGUGACGGUACCUGCAGAAGAAGCACCGGCCAACUACGUG